AGCGAACGUUAGCGGCGGGCCUAACACAUGCAAGUCGAACGCGAAAGGUCUUCGGACUGAGUAGAGUGGCGCACGGGUGAGUAACACGUAGGUAAUCUACCCUUUGGCGGGGGAUAACGUUCCGAAAGGAGCGCUAAUACCGCAUAAGACCACGGAGUCUCCGGACGCUGUGGGAAAAGGUGGCCUCUUCUUGAAAGCUACCACCGAAGGAUGAGCCUGCGUCCCAUCAGCUAGUUGGUAAGGUAAUGGCUUACCAAGGCGAAGACGGGUAGCUGGUUUGAGAGAAUGAUCAGCCACACUGGCACUGGAACACGGGCCAGACUCCUACGGGAGGCAGCAGUGAGGGAAUAUUGGGCAAUGGGCGAAAGCCUGACCCAGCCACGCCGCGUGAGUGAUGAAGGCCCUCGGGUCGUAAAGCUCUGUGGAGAGGGACGAAAACCCUGGUUUCAAAUAGGCUCCAGGCUUGACGGUACCUCUUUAGCAAGCACCGGCUAACUCUGUGCCAGCAG
rnacentral:rRNA from 1 species